AACGAACGCUGGCGGCAUGCCUAACACAUGCAAGUCGAACGAGACCUUCGGGUCUAGUGGCGCACGGGUGCGUAACGCGUGGGAACCUGCCCUUAGGUUCGGAAUAACUCCCCUAAAGGGGUGCUAAUACCGGAUAAUGUCUUCGGACCAAAGAUUUAUCGCCUUUGGAUGGGCCCGCGUUGGAUUAGCUAGUUGGUAGGGUAAAAGCCUACCAAGGCGACGAUCCAUAGCUGGUCGGAGAGGAUGAUCAGCCACGCUGGGACUGAGACACGGCCCAGACUCCUACGGGAGGCAGCAGUGGGGAAUAUUGGACAAUGGGCGAAAGCCUGAUCCAGCAAUGCCGCGUGAGUGAUGAAGGCCUUAGGGUUGUAAAGCUCUUUUACCCGGGAUGAUAAUGACAGUACCGGGAGAAUAAGCUCCGGCUAACUCCGUG
rnacentral:rRNA from 1 species